rnacentral:rRNA from 1 species
CCUACGGGAGGCAGCAGUGGGGAAUAUUGCACAAUGGGCGAAAGCCUGAUGCAGCGACGCCGCGUGAGGGAUGACGGCCUUCGGGUUGUAAACCUCUUUCAGCAGGGAAGAAGCGAAAGUGACGGUACCUGCAGAAGAAGCGCCGGCUAACUACGUGCCAGCAGCCGCGGUAAUACGUAGGGCGCAAGCGUUGUCCGGAAUUAUUGGGCGUAAAGAGCUCGUAGGCGGCUUGUUGCGUCGGUUGUGAAAGCCCGGGGCUUAACCCCGGGUCUGCAGUCGAUGCGGGCAGGCUAGAGUGUGGUAGGGGAGAUCGGAAUUCCUGGUGUAGCGGUGAAAUGCGCAGAUAUCAGGAGGAACACCGGUGGCGAAGGCGGAUCUCUGGGCCAUUACUGACGCUGAGGAGCGAAAGCGUGGGGAGCGAACAGGAUUAGAUACCCUGGUAGUCCACGCCGUAAACGUUGGGAACUAGGUGUUGGCGACAUUCCACGUCGUCGGUGCCGCAGCUAACGCAUUAAGUUCCCCGCCUGGGGAGUACGGCCGCAAGGCUAAAACUCAAAUGAAUUGACGGCUGGACGUGCGACGACGACACCGAGGAGGUAGG